UAUUCAUCACAGUUUUGUGUGUAUUCUGAGUGUCCUCCUAGGACUCAUUUUCUAAUAGGAUACUGAAAAGUAAAAUUAUCUAAUCUAGUGAAUAUAAUACAAGAAAAUGGCUUUCCAGGAGAAACCAAAGUUAGUAUAUUUUGAAAUAUGAUCACAAAUAAAAAACUGCUCCCAUAUCUCAGCUUGAGGGAAUCUGAGCUUCUGAAGAGUAUUUUCCCUCUGUCUCUGAUAUUGAACAUAUUUCUUCAGUGUUUUUAAUCAUAUAUUUAUUUUUCUUCAGCUAAUAUUUUGAGGUUUUAUUCUGUGCCCAGUACACAUCUAAUUUUCCACAUUAGGCUCUCAGUCUUUUCAGGUAAAAUUCACUUACUUAUUCAACGAAUACUUAUUGAAAAACUAUUAUAUGUACCUAGAAUUGUGCCUGACCCUGAAAAAAACAAUGGUACAUAAAUGCAGGUGCAACCCCGUACCCUCUAAAGAAGUUGAAAUGCUAGCGGGUGGGAAGGGAGAAGUGAAGGGAUUAUCCUUAGAUAGAAGGCAGCAGCCACACCUCCUUCCCCUCCCUCCAUUGUAACAGGUGGGUCACUGAAGUGAUGGGUGAAAGUAUAGUCAGAUUAGAAUGUUUAGUCAGAAAGUGAGGAAUGUUUCCAUAUAUAAAGAUCUACAAGGGGUGAUCAUUUGCUGAGAGACAUGGAAUGGGUAGUGUCAGAAUCUUCUAUUCAUGUGCGUAUUCUUGGCAACAAGUGGAACAAUUCUUAGCACAGACCCAGUACUUCUGAAAUGUUGGUUGUAUAGAUGACUUUCUCAUGGGAAUGAAGGAAUGAAGAACUGAAUGAAUGAUUCUGUUGAACUUGUACUCGGAAGGCCUAAGUGGUUGAAAGCUCAUGAGGGCUAUAGAACUGUCCUUCAAAGCAGCUUUAUCACACUUGGCAGUGCUCUGCUGGAGUCACAUGAAACAAAAUAUGCCCUUCUGCUGAUGAAACUUUGCUAUCUGUGGAGAUAUUUUAGCCUGCUGCCUGGAUAA
rnacentral:lncRNA from 1 species